AUGAUGGUGUAGGGUGGUUAUACAGGGAAGGGUUGUCAGAUGGUGAAGAUGGUACAGAUGGUGUAUGAUGGUCGAAGUGUGUCAGAUGGUUGUCAGAUGGUGUAUGAUGGUCGAAGUGUGUCAGAUGGUUGUCGGAUGGUGUAUGAUGGUGUAGGGUGGUUAUACAGGGAAGGGUUGUCUGAUGGUGAAGAUGGUACAGAUGGUGUAUGAUGGUCGAAGUGUGUCGGAUGGUUGUCAGAUGGUGUAUGAUGGUCGAAAUGUGUCAGAUGGUUGUCAGAUGGUGUAUGGUGGUGUAUGAUGAUCGAAGUGUGUCAGAUGGUUGUCAGAUGGUGUAUGAUGGUGUAGGGUGGUUAUACAGGGAAGGGUUGUCAGAUGGUGAAGAUGGUACAGAUGGUGUAUGAUGGUCGCGGGUUGUCAUUCGGUGUAGGAUGCUUAUAUUAGAUAUUACAUUGCUAUAUUUUAUUAUUACUUACAUACACUUUAGCCAACUAUUGUAUGUGUAUAAAAAUAUAAUGUUAUAUCUAACAUUGCGGUUCUCGUGUGGGAAACGUAAUUCAAAGUAUUUGGCAAAAUAUAUAUUUAAACACAUUUGACAGACAUGUUGGACGUAAUAAAUAAAAAUAUAAUAUGAACAUGCUAGAAAAUACAUGCAUGCAGAAACCCUCGCCUUGCUGACAAAACCAUUGUAUUUUCCGAACAUGAAGUAUCUAAAGUAGUUGUCAUGGUAACACGAUAAUUUUUUAAGAAUAUUCUUAGUUUCUUACAAAUGAAAAAUCGCCUAAAAAUAUCACUUUUAAUUACAAAAUUAUUAAUUUCCCAACAUAUAUAUGUUAGGUAUGCUAUUAUACGUAAUAUAAGCC